rnacentral:lncRNA from 1 species
UCCAUCCCUGUUCAGUAUAUAUAUAUUAACCAGCCUACCUCACCAGCUCACUCUCCAUCCCUGUUCAGUAUAUAUAUUAACCAGUCUACCUCACCAGCUCACUCUCCAUCCCUGUUCAGUAUAUAUAUUAACCAGUCUACCUCACCAGCUCACUCUCCAUCCCUGCUUUGGACAAUUAAUAGCAUGACUCUCGUACUUUGCCCUUUUCCUUUAUGGUUGAUAUUAACGACGAAAGGAAAUAUUAUCUGUCCUAUUGUGUUAAAUACUGUGGAAAAAUACAAAAAAAACAGGAAAAUAAAUACUUAGAACUACCAAUUAUUAUAGAUAAAUAUUAAAGAAAAGGGUAAAAACAACACUGGACUUAACCCCCUAACUGUCAAACGAAUAAUAAUGUACAACAAUAUAGAAGAUACAUGAAGAGGUUCUGCAAUAUGGGGGUAUAUCCCCUGCACGC